rnacentral:rRNA from 1 species
AACGAACGCUGGCGGCAUGCUUAACACAUGCAAGUCGAACGAGACCUUCGGGUCUAGUUGCGCACGGGUGCGUAACGCGUGGGAACCUGCACUUAGGUUCGGUAUAACUCCCCGUAAGGUGUGCUAAUACCGGUUAAUGUCUUCGGACCAAAGAUUUAUCGCCUUUGGAUGGGCGCGCGUUGGUUUGGCCAGUUGGUAGGGUACAAGCCUGCCAUGGCGACGUUCCAUAGCUGGUGUGUGAGGAUGAUCAACCACGCUGGGGCUACGACACGGCCCAGUCUGCUACGGGAGGGAGCGGUAGAGUAUAUUAGGGGAUGAACGAUGGCCUAGUCCAGCAGCGCGGCGUAAGUGGUGAAGGCGUUAGGAUUGUAAAGUUCUCUUACCCGAGGUGAUAAUGACAGUAACGGGUGAAUAAGCUCCGGCUAACUCCGUG